rnacentral:miRNA from 1 species
UCACCGGGUGAAAGAUUCGCUU